UCUACCAUCAUCAAGCUUCAAACCCAAAUCAAGCUUCAAACCGAAACAAAACCACAAGAAUUUCCAUGAUCCUGUUUAUCCAAAACCAAACAAAUCAAAACACCAGUGACAUCAUAACAAGCAAUGAAUCAACCGUACAACACAACCAGUGACACCGGUUGUUCUGGUGACAUUCCGAUCUACCUUUUUCGGUAACAUACUCAUGUUCCGAUUUUGUACCGCCGGAGAAGACGAAGACGACAGUUGUGUCGGUGGAACUUUUCAUUAAAGCAGAAGCAAUCUGGCAACAGAAAUACGAAGACGACAGUUGUGGCGGUAAAAGCAAUGAUGGCUUGAUUGUCGGCGACGGUGGUUCAUAUGUAGUACCAUGGUCGGCCGGAAGGGUGUAGUGGGGGUGGGAUUGUCAGGAAGAAACAGGGGCGGUGGUGGUGGUUCUGGCAGGGGUGGUGAUGAUGGCGGAAGUGGUGGUUGUGGCAGAAAACUUCAAAAUUUAUUCGCUUUUAGGGAUGGCGGCAGGAGACAAAAGAAACUUGAAUUCAAACAGCAAAACCAAUCCUCCUCAAUUCAAAUCUGGAAUCAUCAAUAACUCAGACUUCCUUGUCAGGAGACACAAGAUUGAGCAACAGAGAAGAUCUUUGCCCAUUGCUUCACUUGAGAAAAAGGCUUGUAUAAGAGGUUCAGAGAAAUGAUACUUUGAUAAUUGUCGGUGAAACCGGAAGUGGGAAGACAACACAUAAGUUUUCACCAUCCUUAUAAAUUUCUGAUUUGGCUCGAACAAGGAGACGGUGGCAGUUGUGGUUAUGGUGAAGUGUGGAGAUGGUGGUGG